CCAAGGAAGGCAGCAGGCGCGCAAAUUACCCCACUCCCAGAACGGGGAGGUAGUGACGAAAAAUAACAAUACGGGACUCUUUUGAGACCCCGUAAUUGGAAUGAGUACACUCUAAAUCCUUUAACGAGGAUCCAUUGGAGAGCAAGUCUGGUGCCAGCAGUCGCGGUAAUUCCAGCUCCAAUAGCGUAUAUUAAAGUUGUUGCGGUUAAAAAGCUCGUAGUUGGAUCUCAGCUCCGGCCGGACGGUCCGCCUACCGGUGGUUACUGUCCGUCGCCGAGCGUUCAGGCGGUUAUUCUUGAUGAUCUUCACCGGUUGUCUCGGGUGACCGCCAAGUUUACUUUGAAAAAAUUAGAGUGCUCAAAGCAGGCGUGAUGCCUGAAUAAUUGUGCAUGGAAUAAUGGAAUAGGACCUCGGUUCUAUUUUGUUGGUUUUCGGAACACGAGGUAAUGAUUAAGAGGGACAGACGGGGGCAUUCGUAUUGCGACGCUAGAGGUGAAAUUCUUGGACCGUCGCAAGACGAACUACUGCGAAAGCAUUUGCCAAGAAUGUUUCCAUUAAUCAAGAACGAAAGUUAGAGGUUCGAAGGCGAUCAGAUACCGCCCUAGUUCUAACCAUAAACGAUGCCAGCCAGCGAUCCGGCUGUGUUCCUCAAAUGACACGCCGGGCAGCUUCCGGGAAACCAAAGCUUUUGGGUUCCGGGGGAAGUAUGGUGA
rnacentral:rRNA from 1 species